GCGGCAUGCUUUACACAUGCAAGUCGAACGGUAACAGGGAGCUUGCUCCGCUGACGAGUUGCGAACGGGUGAGUAGUGCGUCGGAACGUGCCGAGUAGUGGGGGAUAACGCAUCGAAAGGUGUGCUAAUACCGCCUACGUACUGAGGUAGAAAGGGGGGGACCUUCGGGCCUUCGGCUAUUCGAGCGGCCGACGUCUGAUUAGCUAGUUGGGUAGGUAAUGGCUCACCAAGGCGACGAUCCAUAGCUGGUUUGAGAGGAUGAUAAGCCACACUGGAACUGAGACACGGUCCAGACUCAUACGGGAGGCAGCAGUGGGGAAUAUUGGACAAUAGGCGCAAGCCUGAUCCAGCCAUGCCGCGUGUGUGAAGAAGGCCUUCGGGUUGUAAAGCACUUUCAGUAAGGAGGAAGCGUUGAGUGUUAAUAGUACUCAGCGUUGACGUUACUUACAGAAGAAGCACCGGCUAACUCUGUGCCAGCCGCCGCGGUAAAAC
rnacentral:rRNA from 1 species